rnacentral:rRNA from 1 species
CAAGUCGAACGGCAGCGCGGGAGCAAUCCUGGCGGCGAGUGGCGAACGGGUGAGUAAUAUAUCGGAACGUGCCCAGUAGUGGGGGGUAGCCCGGCGAAAGCCGGAUUAAUACCGCAUACGACCUGAGGGUGAAAGCGGGGGAUCGCAAGACCUCGCGCUACUGGAGCGGCCGAUAUCAGAUUAGCUAGUUGGUGGGGUAAGGGCCUACCAAGGCAACGAUCUGUAGUUGGUCUGAGAGGACGACCAGCCACACUGGGACUGAGACACGGCCCAGACUCCUACGGGAGGCAGCAGUGGGGAAUUUUGGACAAUGGGCGCAAGCCUGAUCCAGCAAUGCCGCGUGCAGGAAGAAGGCCUUCGGGUUGUAAACUGCUUUUGUCAGGGAAGAAAUCUUCUGGGCUAAUACCCCGGGAGGAUGACGGUACCUGAAGAAUAAGCACCGGCUAACUACGUGCCAGCAGCCGCGGUAAUACGUAGGGUGCGAGCGUUAAUCGGAAUUACUGGGCGUAAAGCGUGCGCAGGCGGCUUUGCAAGACAGAGGUGAAAUCCCCGGGCUCAACCUGGGAACUGCCUUUGUGACUGCAAGGCUAGAGUACGGCAGAGGGGGGUGGAAUUCCGCGUGUAGCAGUGAAAUGCGUAGAUAUGCGGAGGAACACCGAUGGCGAAGGCAAUCCCCUGGGCCUGUACUGACGCUCAUGCACGAAAGCGUGGGGAGCAAACAGG